GUCUGAGGCCACACUGCCCUGAAGGCACCCGAUCUUGUCUGAUCUGGGAAGCUAAGCAGGGUCGGCCCGGUCAGGACCUGGAUG
rnacentral:rRNA from 1 species